rnacentral:rRNA from 1 species
AGUGAACGCUGGCGGUAGGCCUAACACAUGCAAGUCGAACGGCAGCACAGUAAGAGCUUGCUCUUACGGGUGGCGAGUGGCGGACGGGUGAGGAAUACAUCGGAAUCUACUUUUUCGUGGGGGAUAACGUAGGGAAACUUACGCUAAUACCGCAUACGACCUACGGGUGAAAGCAGGGGAUCUUCGGACCUUGCGCGAUUGAAUGAGCCGAUGUCGGAUUAGCUAGUUGGCGGGGUAAAGGCCCACCAAGGCGACGAUCCGUAGCUGGUCUGAGAGGAUGAUAAGCCACCCUGGAACUGUGACACGGUCCAGACUCCUACGGGAGGCAGCAGUGGGGAAUAUUGGACAAUGGGCGCAAGCCUGAUCCAGCCAUACCGCGUGGGUGAAGAAGGCCUUCGGGUUGUAAAGCCCUUUUGUUGGGAAAGAAAAGCAGCAGGUUAAUACCCCGCUGUUAUGACGGUACCCAAAGAAUAAGCACCGGCUAACUUCGUG